CCUACGGGAGGCAGCAGUGAGGAAUAUUGGUCAAUGGGCGCAAGCCUGAACCAGCCAAGUCGCGUGAGGGAUGACGGUCCUAUGGAGUGUAAACCUCUUUUGUCGGGGAGCAAGGCCCGCCACGUGUGGCGGGAAGGAGAGUACCCGAAGAAAAAGCAUCGGCUAACUCCGUGCCAGCAGCCGCGGUAAUACGGAGGAUGCGAGCGUUAUCCGGAUUGAUUGGGUUGAAAGGGUGCGUAGGCGGAAGGUUAAGUCAGCGGUCAAAUGUCGGUGCUCAACACCGGCCUGCCGUUGAAACUGGUCUUCUUGAGUGAGCGAGAGGUAUGCGGAAUGCGUGGUGUAGCGGUGAAAUGCAUAGAUAUCACGCAGAACUCCGAUUGCGAAGGCAGCAUACCGGCGCUCAACUGACGCUGAGGCACGAAAGCGUGGGGAUCGAACAGGAUUAGAUACCCCUGUAGUC
rnacentral:rRNA from 1 species